UUUGUAUUAUUUUCUAUUUGUCCACAAUUUCUGAACACAAAAGGUAAACGCCGUGGCAGUAGCACAGAAGCAACCCGCUUGCUUGCUCUCGCUGCCGGAAUAAGAAUGCUGCGAAUGAAUGUUGUCACUCGCGUCGAGGUGUUGUAUCUCCGCGCGCGUCUUUUACCAGGCAAGCAGAAAAAUAAGUUGGGUACCUGCGACAAAAGCGAUUUCGAUUUCUCAUACAUGCUUACGAAUUUUGGACGCUGCAGAAUAUAAUUUUAAUGGUUACAUGUGCGUGAGCGUGAAAGAGUAAGCUAUAGUCUUCUGCACAGAAGAAGACUACCAGCUAACAUGUGCUGUUGCAGAGUGUGCACCAAAUGGCGAUAGAUGGCGCAACAUUGGUUUGUGUAUUGGCUAAUGAACUGUGAAUUUUUUUUAGACUUAUAUUUUGGAUAUGAUCGACGAUGCCGAACUGAGAUAUAAUGUCAACAGCUAAAAUUUUGGUAAAAAAUAGUUUUUUUCUUCUCUGAAUUUGGUACUGGAGAUUGAAAGGACUCAACUUUAAAUUAUUUUACUUUCAUUGCCGUCAAAAGUGAUGUAAAUAAUAAAAUCAAUGAAAUAUAUCUGCAAGAGUUACUGAUCUGUGGUCGUUGUAUUAGUCUGAGGGGACUGGUACAGCAGGAGAUAUUAAUGGAUUACAAGUUGAAUAUUUGGCUUAGUACGAAUACAUUAUCCUAAUAGGAUCAAUAUCAGCGGAUAACUGUUUAAGGAAAAUGAAGUUAUUCUCAAGAAUGACAAUAACAGCAGUCAUCAGAUAAUUCUAUAUAUCAAUGUCACCAAGAAAAAUUGUGAUUAAAAUUAAAUGUUAAUAUAAUACAAGGCAGCUCUAAAUACU